rnacentral:rRNA from 1 species
UACGUAGGGUGCGAGCGUUGCCCGGAUUUAUUGGGCGUAAAGGGCUCGUAGGCGGUCUGUUGCGUCAGGAGUGAAAACUCGGGGCUUAACCCCGAGCCUGCUUCUGAUACGGGCAGACUAGAGGUAUGCAGGGGAGAACGGAAUUCCUGGUGUAGCGGUGAAAUGCGCAGAUAUCAGGAGGAACACCGGUGGCGAAGGCGGUUCUCUGGGCAUUACCUGACACUGAGGAGCGAAAGCGUGGGGAGCGAACAGG